GGGAUCCUUUCAUUGUUGAACACAAUCCUCACAUACAUGACCCGGAUGAUGUUUUCCCUGGCCUUGUCAUCAAGAUUACUCCUUUCCUUUCCACAACAGGUAGACCGUAGUAGACUGCUUCUUUCUUACCACUUUCAAUCCUGCUUUGCUCAUUUCCCUUGUUUAAUUUACAUCCCGCUUCAAAGUAAAAUAUAUGCCGGGGGAAAUGUGUUGUAUUGAGAGGGCAAGUGAUUGGUAUAAUUAGUAACACUUCCUUCUAAAUGCAUUUUUUUGUUUCCUUUUAAAUUCCUCAUAAACCCCUAAUUGAAGGAUAUUAGAGGCUUAAAUUCACCAAUUUUAAGUUGUUCUUAUAGCACUAGUGCCAAUUAAUUUUUAAAAAUGUUUCAUGUUUACUAUUUAAUUAUAUACUAGAAAAACAAUAAAUAAUGAUAUACAAAUUAAUAAUAAAAUAUAACGUAAAUACUAUAUUGACAUAAUGUGUUGAUUUAUUGAUAAAAUUAAUAUUUUAUUAAUUUGAAUAAUAAGGGCUUAAAUCCCUUACCUGUAUUUUUUUAAUAAAAAAAUAAAAUUCCCUCCAAUAAUUUAAUUUAUUUUAAUUAUAGAAAGACAUAUUUAUAAUUUUUUUUAAUUAAAUUGUUACCUCAUUAACUCGUAAUACUAUCUUAUUAUACUAAUGUUAGUGUAUAUAUUACCUCACCCCCUCUCAAAUGUCAACCUCCAACAAUCUUUAAUUGGCAUUAGUAUCAUCUAUAUCUUAGCUAAUAAUAAGUUGACACAGAUAUAUUAUUAGCUCUUUGGCCUUUAUUCCAAAUUUAUACACCAUCUUAUAAUUUAAUAUAUUCAAACUAACAACUUGUUUAAAAAUAUUUAAAUCCAUAAUUUUUUAUAAUUCAAAAUAAAAAUAAUUUGAUAGAAUUUUUUAUAGAAAAUGUGAAAUAUAAUAAAUAGAUUAUUUUAUUUAUUUUAAUAUUAUAUUAUCCUAUAAAAAAUUUAUAUUUUUUUAUUUAAAAUAAAGUGCAAUGUUUAAAAAUUAAGGAUAUGAUGUAUAAUAUAUUUUUUUAUAAUUUAAAAUCUAUAUUUACUCAGCAAUCUAAUUAUAUUUCAUAAUAAUUCUAAGUAAUAUAUUAAAUAUUAUUAAAACUUAAAUUUUUAACACUUAUAUUCUUUUAGUUUAUCAAACAACACCUGAAUAAGAGACAAUUAAGCACAUCUAUAUCUAAAACUUUUCAUCAGAUAGAAAUAUACUUAGAGCUAUAAAAAGGAAAAAUAAAAUUUGAAUGCAAUCCAAGUUAAAGUAAGUUAAUUAAAUGAUUAAAUAUCGGUUUUUGGUAGGAUUAAUAACUAACUAAACCAACCAAAAAAUUUAUUAUAUGUUGACUUUUUAUUAAGAUGGAAGCUUUGGAUCUUUGGAUAUUCAAAUUCAAGUUUAAUCAUAUGUAAUUGUGAUGCAGGGAUGUCUAUUCCACCAUGUAUUAUGAAUUUUAAGCAAUUAUUUAUUUAUUGUGUAUUAUAGUUGGUCAAGUAUAUAUAUUUAUGAAUGUAGUGUGAAACUCUAAAAAACACAUUAAAAAUGAAUUGGGCAUAUGGGCUUCUUAACAUGAAAUAUUAAGGCAAGGAAUGAAGAUGGCAGCAGGCUGAAUGGCCCAAUUCCCCUAUAAUUUGAUUUUACUACUCAAAUUUCAUGACUCUUAUUAUUACAACAACCUGCGUUUUUAAGUGCAUGCGUUUAUUGUAAAGAAUUAAAUCAAAUUUUUAAUGUGGAUUAAAGUAUAAUUUUAUCUUUAUUAAAGGAC
rnacentral:lncRNA from 1 species